GUGCAGCGCCGCGGUAAUACCGGCAGCCCGAGUGAUGGCCGAUAUUAUUGGGCCUAAAGCGUCCGUAGCUGGCCGAACAAGUCCGUCGGGAAAUCCACGUGCUUAACACGUGGGCGACCGGCGGAAACUGUUCGGCUUGGGGCCGGAGGACCCGAGGGGUACGUCCGGGGUAGGAGUGAAAUCCUGUAAUCCUGGACGGACCGCCGGUGGCGAAAGCGCCUCGGGAAGACGGACCCGACAGUGAGGGACGAGAGCUGGGAUCUCGAACCGGAUUAGAAACCCUGUAUCC
rnacentral:rRNA from 1 species